CGGCAGGCUUAACACAUGCAAGUCGAGGGGUAUGGUUCUUCGGAACCAGAGACCGGCGCACGGGUGCGUAACGCGUAUGCAAUCUGCCUUUCACAGAGGGAUAGCCCAGAGAAAUUUGGAUUAAUACCUCAUAGUAUAGCGACAUCGCAUGAUGAUGCUAUUAAAGUCACAACGGUGAAAGAUGAGCAUGCGUCCCAUUAGCUAGUUGGUAAGGUAACGGCUUACCAAGGCAACGAUGGGUAGGGGUCCUGAGAGGGAGAUCCCCCACACUGGUACUGAGACACGGACCAGACUCCUACGGGAGGCAGCAGUGAGGAAUAUUGGUCAAUGGGCGCAAGCCUGAACCAGCCAUGCCGCGUGCAGGAUGACGGUCCUAUGGAUUGUAAACUGCUUUUGCACAGGAAGAAACACUGAUUCGUGAAUCAGCUUGACGGUACUGUGAGAAUAAGGAUCGGCUAACUCCGUGCCAGCAGCCGCGGUAAUACGGAGGAUCCAAGCGUUAUCCGGAAUCAUUGGGUUUAAAGGGUCCGUAGGCGGUCUGGUAAGUCAGUGGUGAAAGCCCAUCGCUCAACGGUGGAACGGCCAUUGAUACUGCUGGACUUGAAUUAUUAGGAAGUAACUAGAAUAUGUAGUGUAGCGGUGAAAUGCUUAGAGAUUACAUGGAAUACCAAUUGCGAAGGCAGGUUACUACUAAUGGAUUGACGCUGAUGGACGAAAGCGUGGGUAGCGAACAGGAUUAGAUACCCUGGUAGUCCACGCCGUAAACGAUGGAUACUAGCUGUUGGAAGCAAUUUCAGUGGCUAAGCGAAAGUGAUAAGUAUCCCACCUGG
rnacentral:rRNA from 1 species